AUCUGUCAACAUGAAUCCCAAGGCAAACUUUGAACUUUUUUCUUCAAACUUGCUUCAUUAUUUUAUUAACCUUGUUCUUUAUUAAUUACUUUUAAUUUUAAUUAGUCUACACGUGUUUAGCUAAGUAGCUUGUAUGACUAUAUUGGUUGACUGGUUAGCUUAAUUGAACUAUCUAGAAUAAUAGUUUCUUUUUGGAUAUAGAUCACCUUGUUUAAGCUUGUGCUUGGAUACAGGGGCGGAGUCAGGAUUCCGACGAAGGGUGUUCAUAUUUUAGGAUAGGGGAUGUGUGAGCGAUAGUUUACACACCCUUAGUCGCUAGGCUAUCCUUCGUUUUUAUGUCAAGAUUGUUCAUUACUAGUAUAUAUUCACAAAAUUCUAUAUUUAUCAUAGGUAUUCGAUAAUUUUUUUCAACAAAGGGUGUUUAUAUAUGAACACCCUUCAAUGGGUGUGGCUCCGCCACUGCUUGGAUAUAGAUUAGCUUAUUGAACUCUCUAGAAUAAUAGUUUCUUUUUGGAUAUAGAUUACUUGUUUAAGCUCAAUUGGGAAUCUAAUCAUAUUGGAAUAAGUGUUUUAUCCUUGAUAUUUUAGGCUCAGAAUAAUUGUACUUUUGUUGUUUUCUUAUACUCUUCCUUCUUUGCUUUUUAAUCUGUCCAAAAAGAUCGAUUUUUUUUUUAUAUUUAAAAAUAAUUUAAUUUUAUGACAUAAUUUACGGUCACACAAAUAUUAAAACUUAUGUUAAAUCAUAUAUUUCAAAAAUCUUAUUUUAUUUCUUAAAUUUUACGCCAAAUAGACAAUCUUUUGGAACGGAGGGAGUAAUAAAUUUUCCUCUUUCUUGGUCAUUUCCCCUUUUCUGUUUUGGCUAUGGGAUUUAGAGGUUUACAAAUUAGGACAUCAGAUUUUUGUUGUGAGGCUCACAUUGGAACUCCUUAUUUUAUCAACUUCUUAUCUUUUUUAAGACCCUUGCUGAAAAUCUUGAAUUUUUAUCUUCAACAUUUGUGAUUUAAGCUUCAUAUUAAUAUUGCAUCUAUUGACAGGAGCUUUUUUUUUUUUGGAGAAACAGUGAGGUGAAUUGACCCUCAAUACACUUGCUGACAGAGGCGGAGCUAGGAUUUUGAGUUUAUAAGUUUUAGAUUCUUGAAAAAAGAAAAUUAUUAGGUUCUUGAUACAUUAUUUAUACGUAUUAAGUGGAUUUUGAAACACAAAUACAAACUCUGCGCCAAAGCUACUGUGUUCUGUCGAACCCAUAGACGCGAUGGAGGACCGAGUGAAGAGGAGAGAAUUUUUUUUGUUGGUUUCAUGUAUAUGGUUGCCUAUGUUAGUUCUUGGUGGGACUGGAAAUGCCACUAUCUCUUCUUUGUCUAGCCCAAGAGUGGUGAACUUUGGAGCUUUAUUUACAGUUAAUUCAGUUAUUGGAAGUUCUGUAAAGCCAGCAGUACUAGCUGCAGUCGAUCAUGUUAAUGCUGAUUCUACCGUGCUCAAUGGGACCAAAUUGAACGUCAUAUUACAGGAUACAAAUUGCAGUGGAUUCAUUGGCACUGUUGAUGCUUUGCAGUUGAUGGAGAAAGAAGUAGUUGCUGCAGUGGGUCCACAAUCCUCAGGAAUAGCACAUGUCAUUUCUCAUCUGGUGAAUGAGCUUCGUGUCCCCCUUUUGUCUUUUGCGACUGAUCCUACUCUUUCCUCUCUGCAGUACCCAUAUUUUCUUAGAACUGUCACAAAUGAUUACUUCCAGAUGUAUGCUAUUGCUGAUCUGGUUGAUUAUUAUGGAUGGAAGGAGGUUAUAGCCAUAUUUGUUGAUGAUGACAAUGGUAGAAAUGGGAUAUCUGUGUUGGGUGAUGCCCUUGCAAAGAAGCGGGCCAAGAUUUCUUACAAAGCAGCCUUUCCUCCUGGAGCUAAUACGAGUGAUAUCGAUGACUUGUUAGUCAAUGUGAACCUUAUGGAGACACGAGUUUAUAUUGUUCAUGUAAAUCCAGAUACUGGACUAUCCUUUUUUUCAAAGGCAAAAAAUUUGGGAAUGAUGAGCAGUGGCUAUGUUUGGAUUGCUACUGAUUGGCUUCCAUCUGUUUUGGAUUCAUCAAAUUCAGUUAAUAAAGAUACUAUGGACCUAAUACAAGGGGUUGUCGCGCUUCGCCAUCACACUCCAGAUUCUGAUAAGAAAAAGGCAUUUGCAUCUCGAUGGAAAAAUUUGAAGGGUAAAAAAACUUCAAGUUUUAAUUCUUAUGCACUCUAUGCUUAUGAUACAGUUUGGUUAGUUGCCCGUGCUCUUGACCUUUUCUUCAAGGAUGGUGGAAACGUCACUUUCUCUGAUGACCCCAAUUUGCGUGAUACCAAUGGAAACUCUCUGAAUUUGUCAUCUCUCCGAGUUUUUGACCAAGGACAGAAAUUACUCCAGAUACUUGUUGGCAUGAACUUCACGGGUCUAACUGGUCAGAUUCAGUUUGAUCCUGAGAAGAAUUUGAUUCGUCCAGCAUAUGAUGUUCUUAACGUAGUUGGAACUGGGUUACGCACAAUAGGUUACUGGUCAAACUAUUCUGGUCUUUCUGUUAUAACUCCAGAAAUUUUAUACACAAAGCCUGCGAACACUUCAACCAGUAACCAACAUUUAUAUAAUGCUAUAUGGCCAGGAGAAACUAUAAAACGACCUCGAGGAUGGGUUUUUCCUAAUAAUGGCAAACCCCUGCGAAUUGCUGUUCCUUUCCGUGUUACUUUUGAAGAGUUUGUGAAGAAAGACAAAGGACCUUCCGGGGUGAAAGGUUAUUGCAUUGAUGUGUUUGAGGCUGCAAUAGACUUGUUGGCUUACCCUGUCCCUCAUGUCUACAUUUUAUACGGAAAUGGAAAAAGAAACCCCUCGUUCAACAGCAUAGUGGAUGAUGUUGCACAAAAUAAAUAUGAUGCAGCUGUUGGGGAUGUUUCAAUUACGACAAACCGCACUAGGAUUGUGGACUUCACACAGCCUUAUAUGGAAUCUGGACUCGUUGUAGUUGCUCCUGUCAAAGAGAUCAAAUCCAGUCCAUGGGCUUUCCUUAGACCGUUUACAGUUCAAAUGUGGUGUGUAACUGGGGCAUUCUUCCUCUUUGUUGGAUUUGUUGUUUGGAUUCUUGAGCAUCGGAUGAAUCCUGAAUUCCGUGGUCCACCGAGGCAACAACUUGUUACAGUGUUCUGGUUUAGUUUCUCAACCAUGUUUUUCGCACAUAGACAGAACACGUUGAGUACGUUGGGUCGCUGUGUGCUGAUAUUCUGGCUCUUUGUGGUUUUAAUUAUCAAUUCAAGCUAUACAGCUAGCUUGACAUCUAUCCUUACAGUACAAAAGCUGUCUUCGGGGAUUACAGGAAUCGACAGUUUAAUUUCAAGCCCUGAUCCUAUAGGAGUCCAGGAUGGGUCAUUUGCAUACAAUUAUCUCAUUGAGGAGCUACAUAUUCCAAAGUCACGUCUCCGAAUAAUAAAAAGCGAAGAUGAAUAUGUCAGUACCCUCCAGAACGGUCCACAAGGUGGAGGUGUAGCUGCCAUUGUCGACGAGCUCCCUUAUGUUGAGCUGUUUUUGUCUAAUAACAAAUGCAUAUUCAGGACUGUAGGGCAGGAGUUCACUAAGAGCGGAUGGGGCUUCGCAUUUCAAAGAGACUCUCCUCUAGCUGUUGAUCUAUCGACUGCGAUUCUUCAACUGUCAGAAAAUGGCGAAUUGCAACGGAUCCAUGACAAAUGGCUAUCGACCAAUGGAUGCUCUUCACAAAACAAUCAAGUUGAUGACACUCGGCUUUCCCUUAAAAGCUUCUGGGGCCUAUAUGUGAUCUGUGGUGGUGCUUGUGCAGUUGCACUUAUAGUGUUUUUCUGCAGAGUUUACUGUCAAUUCCUCAGAUAUGCCCCCGAGAUAGAGGAACCGGAGAUCAGUGAACCUGAAUCUGCAAGGUCUAGUAGGGGUACAUUCCGGUCACAUAGCUUCAAGGACUUGAUUGGCUUUGUUGAUAAAAGAGAAGCUGAGAUUAAAGAGAUACUCAAGCGUAAGAACAGUGACAACAAGAAACAGAUGAGUUACAACUCAGAUGUGCAACCGAGUUCCCCUGCUUAAUAUGUUCUUGGACUUUGAACGUUCUGAAGCUUUGCGAAAGGGGAAAGCUAUAGCGGAGUGAUUGCAUUGUUCCAGUUCUGCUUUGAGAUUGUGAUCCAGAGAGGUCUACCAGACCUCAUAUUUAGCGUGAGACUAGUUUCCGACAUAUUUGAGGGUGAGCUCCUAUCCAUGCCAGGCCGCCUAAAGAUCUUUCUCAUUUUGGACGUCUAUUUCCUUUCAGACAUUUAUGUUUAUUUCAUAUAGUUGUUCAUUCUUUAGACAGUUAUGUUUUAGAGUCAUUGUACGAUGACUUUCGGAUUUUGGGGUUGUAAUAGUUAGGACUUCCACACCUUUAUCUAUU